GCAAAAUGUAGGCUCCUUCCCUUGUGCUGCCAUACUUUCAAUAACCAUUUGAACAUCCUCACUAGAAUAGCCAUACGCCUGCUGGCGUCUUAGAAUUGUUUCACCAUCCAUUACUGUUGUUGAAAAAAAGUUCAUAGGCUUCAAAGAUCGCAAAUUUUCUUUAAUCCACUCCCCAUAUGGAUUGGACAAUGCAACUCGCCUUUUGACCUCUGUAUUCUCGAAUACCUGACCACUUGAAAGAUCAACGCUUAUCAUCAUACCAGGACCUAAACGCCCUUUCAUUGUUACAUUUGAUUCAUCCAUGGGUAUCACACCAACCUCAGAUGCAACAUAGACAACGUUGUCUUUGGUUCGCCAAUAUCUAGCAGGACGAAG
rnacentral:misc_RNA from 1 species